GAUGAACGCUGGCGGCGUGCCUAAUACAUGCAAGUCGAGCGAACGGACGAGAAGCUUGCUUCUCUGAUGUUAGCGGCGGACGGGUGAGUAACACGUGGAUAACCUACCUAUAAGACUGGGAUAACUUCGGGAAACCGGAGCUAAUACCGGAUAAUAUUUUGAACCGCAUGGUUCAAAAGUGAAAGACGGUCUUGCUGUCACUUAUAGAUGGAUCCGCGCUGCAUUAGCUAGUUGGUAAGGUAACGGCUUACCAAGGCAACGAUGCAUAGCCGACCUGAGAGGGUGAUCGGCCACACUGGAACUGAGACACGGUCCAGACUCCUACGGGAGGCAGCAGUAGGGAAUCUUCCGCAAUGGGCGAAAGCCUGACGGAGCAACGCCGCGUGAGUGAUGAAGGUCUUCGGAUCGUAAAACUCUGUUAUUAGGGAAGAACAUAUGUGUAAGUAACUGUGCACAUCUUGACGGUACCUAAUCAGAAAGCCACGGCUAACUACGUGCCAGCAGCCGCGGUAAUACGUAGGUGGCAAGCGUUAUCCGGAAUUAUUGGGCGUAAAGCGCGCGUAGGCGGUUUUUUAAGUCUGAUGUGAAAGCCCACGGCUCAACCGUGGAGGGUCAUUGGAAACUGGAAAACUUGAGUGCAGAAGAGGAAAGUGGAAUUCCAUGUGUAGCGGUGAAAUGCGCAGAGAUAUGGAGGAACACCAGUGGCGAAGGCGACUUUCUGGUCUGUAACUGACGCUGAUGUGCGAAAGCGUGGGGAUCAAACAGGAUUAGAUACCCUGGUAGUCCACGCCGUAAACGAUGAGUGCUAAGUGUUAGGGGGUUUCCGCCCCUUAGUGCUGCAGCUAACGCAUUAAGCACUCCGCCUGGGGAGUACGACCGCAAGGUUGAAACUCAAAGGAAUUGACGGGGACCCGCACAAGCGGUGGAGCAUGUGGUUUAAUUCGAAGCAACGCGAAGAACCUUACCAAAUCUUGACAUCCUUUGACAACUCUAGAGAUAGAAGUUUCCCCUUCGGGGGACAAAGUGACAGGUGGUGCAUGGUUGUCGUCAGCUCGUGUCGUGAGAUGUUGGGUUAAGUCCCGCAACGAGCGCAACCCUUAAGCUUAGUUGCCAUCAUUAAGUUGGGCACUCUAAGUUGACUGCCGGUGACAAACCGGAGGAAGGUGGGGAUGACGUCAAAUCAUCAUGCCCCUUAUGAUUUGGGCUACACACGUGCUACAAUGGACAAUACAAAGGGCAGCGAAACCGCGAGGUCAAGCAAAUCCCAUAAAGUUGUUCUCAGUUCGGAUUGUAGUCUGCAACUCGACUACAUGAAGCUGGAAUCGCUAGUAAUCGUAGAUCAGCAUGCUACGGUGAAUACGUUCCCGGGUCU
rnacentral:rRNA from 1 species